UGCUGUUGUUGCUGCCGCCAGCUUCUGUCAUCAGCUCCUGGGAACAAAGCAUAAAAAACUCAUCCAUCCUAUGAGUCAUUUGUUGACUUCCAUGUUCAUAAAGCACCUUCUUCACAAUAACCCUGUGAGGGUCAAUUAUGCUGAUAGUUUCCCAAAUACUGAACCAGCCCUGCAUCCUUGGUAUAAAUCCUACCUCGUCAUAGCAUAUUAUCCUUGAGAGCUGAAUUGGGGACAAGAAAAAGACAGACUUUGUGGAAGUGGAAUUCAAGGAUGAUUUGGUGACUCUUUCUCAUGGUGCCCUUGGUGAGACAAUCUGUGGCACACAGCUCCUUCAAGGUUCAGCUCAAGUACUACUUUCAAGAGGCCUCUCCCCAGAUAUUAAUAGACCCUGCACCAAAAUUAUUUUGUAUUUACCUUGUACUAAUCUUGUAUUUACUUAUCUAUGUGUGUACUUUCCUCUCAGUAGAAUGUAAGUUCCUAGGUCACUUUUGUUUGUCUUUGUAUCACUAGCACCUAGCUUUUUGAACUGUAUCUCCCCUUAUAUGGGUGCAUAAUACAAGAAAUAAAAUAUUUCGUGAAUAUUAAAAAUGUAA